AUUGAACGCUGGCGGCAUGCCUUACACAUGCAAGUCGAACGGUAACGUGGGGCAACCUGGCGACGAGUGGCGAACGGGUGAGUAACGCAUCGGAACGUGCCCAGUAGUGGGGGAUAGCCCGGCGAAAGCCGGAUUAAUACCGCAUACGACCUACGGGUGAAAGGGGGGGAUCGCAAGACCUCUCGCUAUUGGAGCGGCCGAUGUCAGAUUAGGUAGUUGGUGGGGUAAAGGCCCACCAAACCUUCGAUCUGUAGCUGGUCUGAGAGGACGACCAGCCACACUGGGACUGAGACACGGCCCAGACUCCUGCGGGAGGCAGCAGUGGGGAAUUUUGGACAAUGGGCGCAAGCCUGAUCCAGCCAUGCCGCGUGCGGGAAGAAGGCCUUCGGGUUGUAAACCACUUUUGUCGGGGAAGAAACGCUCUGGGCUAAUACCCCGGGGUAAUGACGGUACCUGAAGAAUAAGCACCGGCUAACUACGUGCCAGCCGCCGCGGUAAUAC
rnacentral:rRNA from 1 species